rnacentral:rRNA from 1 species
UACGUAGGGUGCGAGCGUUAAUCGGAAUUACUGGGCGUAAAGCGUGCGCAGGCGGUUUUGUAAGCCAGAUGUGAAAGCCCCGGGCUUAACCUGGGAAUGGCAUUUGGGACUGCAAGGCUUGGAGUGCGGCAGAGGAGACUGGAAUUCCUGGUGUAGCAGUGAAAUGCGUAGAUAUCAGGAGGAAUACCGAUGGCGAAAGCGGCUCUCUGGCCCGGAUCUGACGCUGAGGCGCGAAAGCGUGGGAGCAACAGG